UUUUGUACUUUUUCCACUGCUGGAAACACUUCUUUAAGUAAUUUUUCUGAACAUUUUGCAUGCUUUGCCAUCAUUUCAGCUCUGUACAACCAUGUGCAAUUCAUCCUUCCAAAUCAACGAUUCACUCUCUGUAUUCGACAAGUCUGUAAUAUGGGUGAUCGUUUGGUUGUCUUUUUCCUUGGUCUCGGCUGGACUGUCAGACCUCUUCUCCAGAUCUGCAUGUGCUUUGACCAUUACCUGGCAGUGAUUCAUCCAGUAGCAUUCCUGAGAUAUAAAGGCAUCCAAUACAGGACUGCAUCGGCAGCAGCAGCUUGGUUAAUAGGAGCGGCCAACAGCUCCUUUAUGCUCUUAAGCGUCCAGGACCAGGUGAACAAACAAAUGUAGAGAUGACAAGAAAAGACAGACACAACAAAACUGACAGAGGCAGAGUUGGCAACCAGCAGAAAAGGAAGGCCUUCAAAAUCAUCUCUCACAAUUUAGCAUCUAUCUUGAUUUGUUAUUUCCCUCAAGUAGUAACUUAUUUUAUGCGCAUAGCUAAAAUGAGUAAGCAUAUAUACAUUUGCAACGCAUUUCCAUUGAUUCUGUCAUUUAGUUUGACUGCUGUAUUAAUUUCUCCACUAGUCAGGAUGUAUAGUGAAGGCCAAAUAAAACAAAUGAUGUGCUUUUCAAAGCUUAGAGAACAAAUAAAAGGACAAUAAGAAAACUAAAAUAUGUAUUUAUUGAAGCUUGACAUUGAGAUAGAACAGUAUUUGAGAAUGCAAAUGUCUGCACAUACCUGCUGGCUGUUAGAAAAUGUAUACUGAUCAGUUUGCAAUUGCAAUUCAAGACCAAAAACAAAGCUUUCUCCUUAAUCAAUUAAUAAAGAAAAAACAUAGGAGUUUUUUUUUGGAGAACAAUGUCAGUAUAAUA